rnacentral:rRNA from 1 species
AGCUCCAGUAGCGUAUAUUAAAGUUGUUGCAGUUAAAAAGCUCGUAGUUGGAUUUCUGGUUCGACAGCGCUGAUCCGCCCUCAGUGGUGAGUGUCGGUUGUCUGUCUGCCAUCCUUCCGCAAAGCGUUUCUACCUUUCAUUAGGACGGGAUCGCGAUGUGGAACUUUUACUUUGAAAAAAUUAGAGUGUUCAAAGCAGGCUUGUGCCAUUGAAUACAUUAGCAUGGAAUAAUAAUUUAGGACUUUGGUUCUAUUUUGUUGGUUUUCAGGAUCGAAGUAAUGAUUGAUAGGGAUAGUUGGGGGUGCUAGUAUUCAGCGGCCAGAGGUGAAAUUCUCGGAUUCGCUGAAGACUAACUUAUGCGAAAGCAUUCACCAAGGAUGUCUUCUUUAAUCAAGAACGA